rnacentral:tRNA from 1 species
GGCUGGGUAGCUCAGUUGGUUAGAGCGAGGGACUCAUAAGCCCUAGGUCGUGGGUUCGACUCCCACCCCAGCUACCA